UACGGAGGGUGCAAGCGUUAUCCGGAUUUACUGGGUUUAAAGGGUGUGUAGGCGGACCUUUAAGUCAGGGGUGAAAUCCCGAGGCUCAACCUCGGAACUGCCUUUGAUACUAUUGGUCUUGAAUCUUGUUGAGGUGGGCGGAACGGGUCAUGUAGCGGUGAAAUGCAUAGAUAUGACCCGGAACACCGAUUGCGAAGGCAGCCCGCUAAGCAAGCAUUGACGCUGAGGCACGAAAGCGUGGGGAUCAAACAGG
rnacentral:rRNA from 1 species